rnacentral:rRNA from 1 species
GCGCGAAAACUUUACAAUGCUGGCAACAGCGAUAAGGGAACCUCGAGUGCCAGGUUACAAAUCUGGCUGUCGAGAUGCCUAAAAAGCAUUUCAUAGCAAGGGCCGGGCAAGACCGGUGCCAGCCGCCGCGGUAACACCGGCGGCUCGAGUGGUAACCGUUAUUAUUGGGUCUAAAGGGUCUGUAGCCGGCCGGAUAAGUCCCUUGAGAAAUCUGGCAGCUUAACUGUCAGGCUUUCAGGAGAUACUGUCUGGCUCGAGGCCGGGGGAGGUGAGAGGUACUUCAGGGGUAGGGGUGAAAUCUUGUAGUCCUUGAAGGACCACCAGUGGCGAAGGCGUCUCACCAGAACGGACCUGACGGCAAGGGACGAAAGCUAGGGGCACGAACCG